rnacentral:rRNA from 1 species
AGAGUUUGAUCCUGGCUCAGGAUGAACGCUGACAGAAUGCUUAACACAUGCAAGUUAAUGGGGAAGAUAUAGCUUGCUAUAUUGGGAACCAUAGCGGACGGGUGAGUAACGCGUAAAGGACUUACCCUCAGGACUGGGAUAACAGAGGGAAACUUCUGAUAAGACCGGAUAUAAUAUAUGUAUUGCAUGAUAAAUAUAUGAAAGGGAACGCCUGAGGAGAGCUUUGCGUCCUAUUAGUUAGUUGGUGGGGUGACGGCCUACCAAGGCGAUGAUAGGUAGCCGGCCUGAGAGGGUGGACGGUCACAAGGGGACUGAGAUACGGCCCUUACUCUUACGGGAGGCAGCAGUGGGGGAAUAUUGGACAAUGGAGGUAACUCUGAUCCAGCAAUUCUGUGUGCAUGAAGAAGGUUUUCGGAUUGUAAAGUGCCUUUCAGCAGGGAAGAAGAAAGUGACGGUACCUGCAGAAGAAGCGACGGCUAAAUACGUGCCAGCAGCCGCGGUAAUACGUAUGUCGCGAGCGUUAUCCGGAAUUAUUGGGCAUAAAGGGCAUCUAGGCGGCACGACAAGUCAGGGGGUGAAAACUUGCGGCUCAACUGCAAGCUUGCCUUUGAAACUGUAGUGCUAGAGUAUUGGAAAGGUGGGCGGAACUACACGAGUAGAGGUGAAAUUCGUAGAUAUGUGUAGGAAUGCCGAUGAUGAAGAUAGCUCACUGGACGAUAACUGACGCUGAAGUGCGAAAGCUAGGGGAGCGAACAGGAUUAGAUACCCUGGUAGUCCUAGCUGUAAACGAUGAUUACUGGGUGUGGGCAGGAAGACUGUCUGUGCCGAAGCAAAUGCGAUAAGUAAUCCCGCCUGGGGGAGUACGGCCGCAAGGCUGAAACUCAAAGGAAUUGACGGGGACCCGCCACAAGCGGUGGAGCAUGUGGUUUAAUUCGACGCAACGCGAGGAACCUUACCAGAUCUUGACAUCCUACGAAUGCUUAUGAAGAUAGGCAGUGCCUUCGGGAACGUAAGAGACAGGUGGUGCAUGGCUGUCGACAGCUCGUGUCGUGAGAUGUUGGGUUAAGUCCCGCAACGAGCGCAACC